GGCAGUGCUUUUCAGAAAGAAAAGGACCUGACCCAAAACCAGAGAUGAGGUUUCCCUUGCCUAUCUGUAAAAAGAAAUGGAGCUGUGAAGGAAUUUUGUUAUUAAUGUUGUGCCAUACUGAGUCUGGAAUAUCAACAUUCCCAUAUCAGAUUUUGUGGACUUUGGAUCUACCUAAUCACAGAUAUAGCCAACGUGGGAUUUAUAAGUCCUUGUUCAUUUUCUGACUUUUUCUCAGCCAGCAACAACCACUUUUACUUCAGGCCUGAAAGGUGUCAUUAUGUCCAAAGUGUGCUGACUAAGCAGUGUUCACACCAGAAAAACAAGAAUGGUGGGGAUAUUAGGAUAAAAAUAGACUGUUGCAUUUGCUAAUCUUGAGAAAUAGACUUUUUUUCCUCUGUGUAUCUGCCUUGGCCUUCAUUAUGCUUUUCCUCUACAGGUACCUAUAUAGAAUCAUAGAAUGGUUUGG